rnacentral:lncRNA from 1 species
AACAUUCAAAUUCUAGUUACCAACCAUAUUAGUGCACCGACCGUCCCUAGAGCAAGUGGUAAAAAAUUUAGUGAUUGAUAUCCGAGGUUCCAAGUUCGAAUUCUAAUUGAUUCACAUUUUCAGCUAAAUUUAUUUCUAAAUGAAAUAAAUAAAGCGGGUAGCGUACUAUCUCUCUCAAAAAAAAAAAAAAAAAAAACCAUAUUAGUGCAGUUGUCCGACGGUUAAAAUAGUUGGUAUCCAAAGUUUCAAGUUCAAAACCUAAUUACAACACAUUUCUAGUUAGGUUUAUUCUCAUAAAAAAAAUAAACAAAGCGAGUAAAUCGCUACCU